UACGUAGGGUGCGAGCGUUAAUCGGAAUUACUGGGCGUAAAGCGUGCGCAGGCGGUCUGUUAAGACCGAUGUGAAAUCCCCGGGCUUAACCUGGGAACUGCAUCGGUGACUGGCAGGCUUUGAGUGUGGCAGAGGGAGGUAGAAUUCCACGUGUAGCAGUGAAAUGCGUAGAGAUGUGGAGGAAUACCGAUGGCGAAGGCAGCCUCCUGGGCCAACACUGACGCUCAUGCACGAAAGCGUGGGGAGCAAACGGG
rnacentral:rRNA from 1 species